AGUGGCGGACGGGUGAGUAACGCGUGAGAAUCUGCCUUGGGGUCGGGGACAACCACUGGAAACGGUGGCUAAUACCGGAUAAGCCGAUUGGUGAAAGAUUUAUUGCCCGAAGAGGAGCUCGCGUCUGAUUAGCUAGUUGGUGAGGUAAGAGCUCACCAAGGCAGCGAUCAGUAGCUGGUCUGAGAGGACGAUCAGCCACACUGGGACUGAGACACGGCCCAGACUCCUACGGGAGGCAGCAGUGGGGAAUUUUCCGCAAUGGGCGAAAGCCUGACGGAGCAAGACCGCGUGAGGGAGGAAGGCUCUUGGGUUGUAAACCUCUUUUCUCAGGGAAGAAGCUCUGACGGUACCUGAGGAAUCAGCCUCGGCUAACUCCGUGCCAGCAGCCGCGGUUACGGAGGAGGCAAGCGUUAUCCGGAAUUAUUGGGCGUAAAGCGUCCGCAGGUGGCGAUUCAAGUCUGCUGUCAAAGCACGGGGCUUAACUCCGUAAAGGCAGUGGAAACUGAAUAGCUAGAGUGCCGUAGGGGUAGAGGGAAUUCCCGGUGUAGCGGUGAAAUGCGUAGAGAUCGGGAAGAACAUCGGUGGCGAAAGCGCUCUACUGGACGGCAACUGACACUCAGGGACGAAAGCUAGGGGAGCGAAUGGGAUUAGAUACCCC
rnacentral:rRNA from 1 species